GGUCAGGCUGAAGACCUUACCCGAUUAGCUGAGAGGUGGUGCAUGGCCGUCGUCAGUUCGUACUGUGAAGCAUCCUGUUAAGUCAGGCAACGAGCGAGACCCACGUCCACAGUUGCCAGCAUACCCUCCGGGGUGAUGGGUACACUGUGGAGACCGCCGCUGCUAAAGCGGAGGAAGGAGUGGGCAACGGUAGGUCAGUAUGCCCCGAAUCUCCCGGGCUACACGCGGGCUACAAUGGUUGGUACAAUGGGCAUCUACCCCGAAAGGGGAAGGAAAUCUCUUAAAGCCAAUCGUAGUUCGGAUUGAGGGCUGCAACUCGCCCUCAUGAAGCUGGAAUCCGUAGUAAUCGCGUUUCAACAGAGCGCGGUGAAUACGUCCCUGCUCCUU
rnacentral:rRNA from 1 species